GUUAAGCGACUAAGCGUACACGGUGGAUGCCCUGGCAGUCAGAGGCGAUGAAGGGCGUGCUAAUCUGCGAUAAGCGCCGGUAAGGUGAUAUGAACCGUUAUAACCGGCGAUACCCGAAUGGGGAAACCCAGUGUGACUCGUCACACUAUCAUUAACUGAAUCCAUAGGUUAAUGAGGCGAACCGGGGGAACUGAAACAUCUAAGUACCCCGAGGAAAAGAAAUCAACCGAGAUUCCCCCAGUAGCGGCGAGCGAACGGGGAGGAGCCCAGAGCCUGAAUCAGCAUGUGUGUUAGUGGAAGCGUCUGGAAAGGCGCGCGAUACAGGGUGACAGCCCCGUACACAAAAGCGCAUGUGCUGUGAGCUCGAUGAGUAGGGCGGGACACGUGGUAUCCUGUCUGAAUAUGGGGGGACCAUCCUCCAAGGCUAAAUACUCCUGACUGACCGAUAGUGAACCAGUACCGUGAGGGAAAGGCGAAAAGAACCCCGGCGAGGGGAGUGAAAAAGAACCUGAAACCGU
rnacentral:rRNA from 15 species